rnacentral:rRNA from 1 species
UAGAUAGUUUGCAGAUUGGAGUUUUUUUCGACUUGUCGGAAAAAACAAAAUUCUGAAAUGGAUAACUGUGGUAAUUCUAGAGCUAAUACAUGAAAAAAAUUCGGUGCGAAACUGCGUUUGUUUUAUCGACAAACGUUUGGCUUUGCACGCUUUUAUUAGAGAAAAAAGCCAAUUUUAUUAUUGAUUACGCAAUCGUGUACGAUUUUAGCGAUGAUUCUAAACGUUUUCGUUUUCUAUGGUCGCUAGAACGAUGACAACUGCGUGAGACCAAUACUAAUUAAAAAAUUUUGGUGUUGAAUCUGAAUAACUUGAAUGGAUUCUCUUUGAAAGAGUUUUGUUUCGUUUCGGAAUGAAAUUUGAUUAGAAGAGGAUUUAAAGCAGACCGCAUUAAAAGCUGCAAACAUAACGAUGAGAGCGUUGUUCUACG